UUUCCGUAGGUGAACCUGCGGAAGGAUCAUUACUGAGUGAGGUCCCUCUGGGUCCAACCGCCCACCCGGUUUUUUUGUACCUUGUUGCGUCUGUGAGCCCGCCUCACUGCCGCAGGGGCGCAUCUCCCCGCAGGCGCACUCUCGCCGUAGGCACCAUUAGACGCGGUCUGAAGGUGGUAGCCUGAGCGAAAACUAAAUAAGUUAAAACUUGCAACAACAGAUCGCUUGGUUCCGCCAUCGUUGAAUAACCGGGCACAACGGAGGAACACACGCUGAUAC
rnacentral:misc_RNA from 1 species